rnacentral:rRNA from 1 species
CAGCGCCACGAGUGGUAACCGCGAUUAUUGGGCCUAAAGCGUCCGUAGCCGGCCUUAUAAAUCCUUUGUGAAAUUGUGCGGCUUAACCGUACAACGUGCAAGGGACACUGUAAGGCUCGAGACCGGGAGGAGUCAGAAGUAUUCCAGAGGGAGCGGUAAAAUGUUUCAAUCUCUGGAGGACUACCUAUGGCGAAGGCAUCUGACCAGAACGGAUCUGACGGUGAGGGACGAAAGCCAGGGGAGCGAACCGGAUUAGAUACCCGAGUAGUCC